CUCAUUUCCCCUCUCCCAAUCUUGUUCCUUAUGGUGGCUGCAUAGCUAGCUUAGGGUUUCUUGGGGAGGAGAGCUGUGUGGGACGGCGCAGCGUGGGAAGGGGUGAGGCACGCCUCUUCUGCUGGUGGAGGCAGACACCUGCUCAUACGUGACCACGGCGUGGACAGAGUGGAUGAGCUCCACGCAAGAACAUGCUGGGUCGUCUAAUCAUCCCGCCACCAAUGCAAGUCAGAGUACCCCUCUGGCAAUUGAACCUGCACAGUCGAAGCAAACAAAACGAAAAUACGAUGCCUGAGGGUUCAUCAUUUAUACAGUCUGGCCAAAAGAGAAGACUGAUAUCUUUUGGAGAGAAUGCUCAAGCAUCUGCGAACUCAAGCGCUCAAGCCUCUGUGAAGGCAUCUACUAGAGGGAGUGCUUCUGUUGUCAUUGAGACCAAUGCUGGGACUGCUGGCUCAUUUGCAAAGGCAACAAUCAAUGUGCAAGGCAGGCGUGCAUCAGCAAACAUCCAGUCCUCAUCACUUGGACGUGGAGCAACAGCAAGGCAGAGCAGCUCUUCUCAGAAAAAAACAUGAACACGUUUGAUGCAUGCAAAGAAAAAAAAUAGUUUCAAGCAAAUGAUAUUAAUGCCUUUGUAUCACCCAAUCAUUAGUAUGUAAACACUUGUCUUUGUUAUGUCAAAACAUGAGACAUAUAUGACAGACAUUGUCAGGAAUUUGUUAGACAUCUAUUGUGAGACUUGAGAUAAGGAGAGGCAAAAU